rnacentral:rRNA from 1 species
UAGGGAAUCUUCGGCAAUGGGGGGAACCCUGACCGAGCAACGCCGCGUGAGUGAAGAAGGUUUUCGGAUCGUAAAGCUCUGUUGUUAAGGAAGAACGAGUGUGAGAAUGGAAAGUUCAUACUGUUACGGUACUUAACCAGAAAGGGACGGCUAACUACGUGCCAGCAGCCGCGGUAAUACGUAGGUCCCGAGCGUUGUCCGGAUUUAUUUGGCGUAAAGCGAGCGCAGGCGGUUAGAUAAGUCUGAAGUUAAAGGCAGUGGCUCAACCAUUGUAGGCUUUGGAAACUGUUUAACUUGAGUGCAGAAGGGGAGAGUGGAAUUCCAUGUGUAGCGGUGAAAUGCGUAGAUAUAUGGAGGAACACCGGUGGCGAAAGCGGCUCUCUGGUCUGUAACUGACGAUGAGGCUCGAAAGCGUGGGGAGCGAACAGG